AGUCGCAACAGAAUUAGGUCUGCUGCUGGGAACUGGCUGUUUGACAUCAACCUUUGCCAUGGAUUAAAUAAAAAUACAGAUGCUCCAGACGGAGGCUGCCAAAACGCCACCGUAAGUACAUUUAGAUUUUUGUCAUAAAAUAGCAACGAACUUAAAAUAAACUAUAAUGUACAGUAUAUUUGGUUAAUAGGGUAAGGCUCUGAUCCAUACUUUUGUAUCUCAAAGGUUUGUCAGUAUUUAGAUUUAAAUAAGGACAAAACAUUUGAAAUUGGGCAGUUUGGAAAUGUUAUGUUUGGCCAAUACGACAACGACACAAAGUCCAUUACUUUGCAGUACUAUGGAAUUCUUCAGGAGAAUACAACAAG